GCUCUCACUCUCAAACCCAGUUCUCUGCUUCUCGGUCCCUUUUUGCAUUCUAUCAUCCCUUGCCUUUGCUUGAGAUACACACUCUCUCCUUCUCUCUCGAUCACGAAGAGCGUUAGUCCGGCGGUUUGCUUCAAGGCAACUGAGGAAUCGCAUCCCACUUCCUCGCCAAUGGUGGUUGCAGCUACAAAGUUCCAAUCAUCAUCUUUUCAGGCGUCUUCGUUGUCGAUUGGUAAUGACUCCCUAUCCCUCGAAUUCAAAUCGUGUCUUCUUCCAUCUUUUAAUUCAAUAUUAUGCCUAUCAUCUAUUUCUUGAUCUCUCUCUUUGAUAUAAAUGCCUGUGCGAUUAGGGUUCAUGGGAAAGGAUCCUGGGAACAAAUUUUGUUGGUCUGAUUUGUCAGAUUCAUUUAAAAAUCGGUGGUAGUUCUCAAUAGAAAAUCAGCCUAGGGUUCAUGUCACUCUGCCUCUCUCUUAUCUUGGGAAACAACAAGUUAGGUGGAAAUUUUUACGGCGGCCCUGUCCUUUCUCUGUCCCCUUCUAUCAUGUGGCGUGUUUCACUGUUCAGUCCGAAUUUCCUGUGAUGUAGAUAUUCGUCAUGUAACAGCUC